UACAGAGGUCUCAAGCGUUGUUCGGAUUCAUUGGGCGUAAAGGGUGUGUAGGUGGCGCCGUAAGUCGGGUGUGAAAUUUCGGAGCUUAACUCCGAAACUGCAUUCGAUACUGCGGUGCUUGAGGACUGGAGAGGAGACUGGAAUUCAUGGUGUAGCAGUGAAAUGCGUAGAGAUCAUGAGGAAGACCAGUGGCGAAGGCGGGUCUCUGGACAGUUUCUGACACUGAGACACGAAGGCCAGGGGAGCAAACGGG
rnacentral:rRNA from 1 species